UUAAAUUGAAGAGUUUGAUCAUGGCUCAGAUUGAACGCUGGCGGCAGGCCUAACACAUGCAAGUCGAACGGUAACAGGAAGAAGCUUGCUUCUUUGCUGACGAGUGGCGGACGGGUGAGUAAUGUCUGGGAAACUGCCUGAUGGAGGGGGAUAACUACUGGAAACGGUAGCUAAUACCGCAUAACGUCGCAAGACCAAAGAGGGGGACCUUCGGGCCUCUUGCCAUCGGAUGUGCCCAGAUGGGAUUAGCUAGUAGGUGGGGUAACGGCUCACCUAGGCGACGAUCCCUAGCUGGUCUGAGAGGAUGACCAGCCACACUGGAACUGAGACACGGUCCAGACUCCUACGGGAGGCAGCAGUGGGGAAUAUUGCACAAUGGGCGCAAGCCUGAUGCAGCCAUGCCGCGUGUAUGAAGAAGGCCUUCGGGUUGUAAAGUACUUUCAGCGGGGA
rnacentral:rRNA from 1 species